GAUCAUCUAUUAUAAAAAAUAUUUUUAAAUUAGAUUUAAAAGAUAUUUGAUUA
rnacentral:tRNA from 3 species